rnacentral:snRNA from 1 species
GGCAUUGACCAUUUAAGGACGCAGCUAGUGAGGUAAAACCGAGGCGCGUCAAUUGCUGGUUGAAAACUAAUUCCAACCCCCCUCGUCGGUCUGGGCCAUGCCUUGGCCCUCGAGAAUUUUUGGAGGGCUCGCCUUUGGCUCGGGC